rnacentral:rRNA from 1 species
GAAGCGGGAAAAGCUCAAAUUUAAAAUCUGUCAGUCUUUGGCUGUCCGAGUUGUAAUCUAGAGAAGCGUUAUCCGCGCUGGACCGUGUACAAGUCUCCUGGAAUGGAGCGUCAUAGAGGGUGAGAAUCCCGUCUUUGACACGGACUGCCAGGGCUUUGUGAUGCGCUCUCAAAGAGUCGAGUUGUUUGGGAAUGCAGCUCAWAAUGGGUGGUAAAUUCCAUCUAAAGCUAAAUAUUGGCGAGAGACCGAUAGCGAACAAGUACCGUGAGGGAAAGAUGAAAAGAACUUUGGAAAGAGAGUUAAACAGUACGUGAAAUUGCUGARAGGGAAACGCUUGAAGUCAGUCGCGUUGUCCAGGGAUCAACCUUGCUUUUGCUUGGUGUACUUUCUGGUUGACGGGUCAGCAUCA